GUGCUCGCUUCAGCAGCACAUACACUAAAAUUGGAACGAUACAGAGAAGAUUAGCAUGGCCCCUGUGCAAGGAUGACAUGCAAGUUCGUAAAGCGUUCCAUAUUUUU
rnacentral:snRNA from 1 species